CCUCUCUGCAAGGAAAGUGCUAUGUGUUGUUUUUUCCAGCAGUGGAAAUACAAAUGAUUCACUCUGGAAACCAUGGCUGUUUCACUGAUAACUAAUUUGUUUGCUGAUAAAUGAUUACCCAGGAGCCAGAAUAGAGACCCAGAAGUCAAACUGCAAAAAUUAUUAAGUUCCCUCUGUAUGCAGAAUAUUGUGCAACAUGGUUACGGGUACUACGAUGGAUGUGAGUGUGUAGACCUUGUACAAUAGAGCUUAUAGGCUAAUGGAAGACAGGAAGAAACAACAGGACCACAUAAAACUGGAAUGCAGAUGGGAUCUGUGCUACUUACACUAGCCAUGGGAUGAUUAGAACAAGAUAAGAGACGUGAGGAAGACUUCUUGAAGGAGGUGCUCAAGCCAUAUUUUGGAAAAGAGAACUCAAGCUCUGGCAGGGAGAAAGGAGCAAGGUGAACCGGAAUGGAACCCACUGAUCAGCUUGUCUACGUUUCUGUAGACUAAGAUUUGUACCUGCAACUGUCUCAUGCUAAAUGAGCAGACUUUGAGUCUUUGCUUCAGAUGCAGAACAAGAUGUGGCAACCUGUUGUGGAGAACCGGGUCCUUUGUGCUCAUGCUGUCUCUUUUUUCUGGUGGCUUUGUCAUUUGGAAUAAUGCAUAGUGGGCUGUAGGCUGAGAAACUGUCAGCUGAGGUAGGAGUGUCACCUAAGAGUGGGAAAGGGUGUCUAAACGCUGAAUGGAGCAUUUUAAAAGUUAGAAUUUGCUAUUUUCUUUUCUCUUAUCUUUUUUUUUUUUUUUUUAGAAAUGGAGUCUUGCUUUGUUACCCAGGCUGCAGUACAGUGGCACCAUCAUGGCUCUCUGCAGCCUUGGCCUCCUGGGCUCAAGUAAUUCUCCUACUUCAGCCUCCCAAGUAGCUGGGAAUACAGGUAUGUGCC
rnacentral:lncRNA from 1 species